UACGAAGGGGGCUAGCGUUGCUCGGAAUCACUGGGCGUAAAGCGCACGUAGGCGGAUCUUUAAGUCAGGGGUGAAAUCCUGGAGCUCAACUCCAGAACUGCCUUUGAUACUGAAGAUCUUGAGUUCGGGAGAGGUGAGUGGAACUGCGAGUGUAGAGGUGAAAUUCGUAGAUAUUCGCAAGAACACCAGUGGCGAAGGCGGCUCACUGGCCCGAUACUGACGCUGAGGCACGAAAGCGUGGGGAGCAACAGGG
rnacentral:rRNA from 1 species